UAACGCGAAGAACCUUACCAAGGCUUGACAUACACCGGAAACGUCUGGAGACAGGCGCCCCCUUGUGGUCGGUGUACAGGUGGUGCAUGGCUGUCGUCAGCUCGUGUCGUGAGAUGUUGGGUUAAGUCCCGCAACGAGCGCAACCCUUGUCCCGUGUUGCCAGCAGGCCCUUGUGGUGCUGGGGACUCACGGGAGACCGCCGGGGUCAACUCGGAGGAAGGUGGGGACGACGUCAAGUCAUCAUGCCCCUUAUGUCUUGGGCUGCACACGUGCUACAAUGGCCGGUACAAUGAGCUGCGAUACCGCGAGGUGGAGCGAAUCUCAAAAAGCCGGUCUCAGUUCGGAUUGGGGUCUGCAACUCGACCCCAUGAAGUCGGAGUCGCUAGUAAUCGCAGAUCAGCAUGCUGCGGAAA
rnacentral:rRNA from 1 species